rnacentral:rRNA from 1 species
AUUGAACGCUGGCGGUAGGCCUAACACAUGCAAGUCGAACGGCAGCACAGGAGAGCUUGCUCUCUGGGUGGCGAGUGGCGGACGGGUGAGGAAUACAUCGGAAUCUACUUUUUCGUGGGGGAUAACGUAGGGAAACUUACGCUAAUACCGCAUACGACCUACGGGUGAAAGCAGGGGACCUUCGGUCCUUGCGCGAUUGAAUGAGCGGAUGUCGGAUUAGCUAGUUGGCGGGGUAGAGGCCCACCAAGGCGACGAUCCGUAGCUGGUCUGAGAGGAUGAUCAGCCACACUGGAACUGAGACACGGUCCAGACUCCUACGGGAGGCAGCAGUGGGGAAUAUUGGACAAUGGGCGCAAGCCUGAUCCAGCCAUACCGCGUGGGUGAAGAAGGCCUUCGGGUUGUAAAGCCCUUUUGUUGGGAAAGAAAUCCAGCCGGUUAAUACCUGGUUGGGAUGACGGUACCCAAAGAAUAAGCACCGGCUAACUUCGUGCCAGCCGCCGCCGUAA